UUGAGCAGUUCACAUGUAGCGCAAUCUGUCUCGUAGUGUUCAUUUUCAAUGGCUAUUAAACGCUGUAAAUCAAAAUGACAUCUUGUACUAAUGGAUGUCUUCAAUCGAAGAAGGUUCGGAAAUGAUAUUUCCACAUGCUUAAAAUAGGUUGGGAAGUUAUUUUUCAAGACCCCGAGGAAGUGUGAAGUGUAUGGAAUCAGCUGUGAAGGAUCUGGAAAGCAGGUGUUUUACCUCGCUGACGAAGGUCAGUCACAUGGUAAAGGUGCAAAUGCUGUGGUCAGCCAGGUUCACCACCACCUCAACACAUACGGUCUUGGCGAACAGCAUGCUCACUUUCAGUGUGACAACUGUUGCGGCCAAAAUAAAAACAACAUAGUCAUCUGGUACCUUCUGUGGAGAGUUCUUGUAGGUUUACACAAAAUCAUCACACUAAGCUUUAUGUUGAUAAGACAUACAAAGUUUACACCAGAUUGGCACUUUGGCAUCUGGAAGUCAAAGUGGAGAAACUUCAAUGCAGAAAUGUUGUCUGAUGUCGCUGCGUCUGUGGGGUUAUCGUCAAGGACGGGCCACAACAUCCCCUAGCUUGUGGGGGACUCUUCCAAUCCUGUUGUUAUCUAAGACAGGAAGGAUUACCUUACGACAUUGUUUCACCACAUAAAGAAUGUCACCAUAUUUCAUCAAUUUCCAUGUGUCAGCGGAGCAUCCCCGGUGUUGUGGAAUGCAGAGAAUUUAGUGACUCACCAGUAAUCAGAGUCACUCUCUGGAAGGUCUCGAAAGUGAAUGUUAAUGUGAGCUGUGGCAACCUGCCAUAAGAAAUGUUUGCAAAAGGGCUUGAUCUGGACCAUCAGUGGUAUUUAUUUGAAAACAUUCAUGAAUUCUGUCGCAUAGAUGAAUCAAAAACUUGACAUGUCCGAAACGCGCUACUGGUGAGCAACAAAAAAUAGACUGUGCCCCCCAAAAAAGAGGAUGCAUUAAGAUGCGCAUCUGAUCUUCUCUGAUAGUGCCACAACAAUUACAUACAUCAUGUAUCAGUGUUUAUUUUGGCCAAGGUAUUGGGUGAUAUAUUUUCCCCCAAACAAUGCAAAAAAUCCUCUAUUCCUAGGAAAGCUAAAACAUGUAUACGAUUGCAAAAUAUGUCAGUUGAAACAGGUUUUGAAAUGUUCAAUGCAAACGUUUGUUGUUCUAGUUGCACAAGCUUGUUUUCAAGUUUUUUAUAUCUCAUAUUUACGAAACAAAAAUCAUUUUUUCCAUGUAACCAUGCAAUUGUUUUCACCUUAUGAACACAGACUGCCUUUCCAAAAAACUGGGAAAAAAUCAGUGUGAAUAUUGUAUUUAUUUAUGUUUUACAAUGAAAAUCCUAUAUUUUUGUUUGUUUGCUACAUUGUUUCCAUAGUAACAAACACAAACAAUUUUUAUUUUUAAGUUAUUGUUUAUUUUGUCUAUUUUUCUCUAUCAGAAAUAAUGAUAAAUAAUGAUUAUUUCAUUUACUGAAACAUUUAGUAUCCAAGUGUACUUUCAACCAACACUUGUCCAUGCUGUGUUUUUCCAUUCUGUUGUGUUUGAGGUUACAUUAUACUUAAAUACACAUGUAACUGAAUAAAAAAAAGGAAAUUGUUCAUGGAACACACAAA